GUACCUGCGGAGGGAUCAUUACCGAGUUUACAAACUCCCAAACCCUUUGUGAACCUUACCUAUCGUUGCUUCGGCGGGAUCGCCCCGGCGCCUUCGGGCCCGGAACCAGGCGCCCGCCGGAGGCCCCAAACUCUUAUGUCUUUAGUGGUUUUCUCCUCUGAGUGACACAUAAACAAAUAAAUAAAAACUUUCAACAACGGAUCUCUUGGUUCUGGCAUCGAUGAAGAACGCAGCGAAAUGCGAUAAGUAAUGUGAAUUGCAGAAUUCAGUGAAUCAUCGAAUCUUUGAACGCACAUUGCGCCCGCCAGUAUUCUGGCGGGCAUGCCUGUUCGAGCGUCAUUUCAACCCUCAGGCCCCCAGUGCCUGGCGUUGGGGAUCGGCGUGGGCGGCGACGGCUCUCCGGAGCCCGAGCCAAUGCCUGCCGGCCCCGAAAUUCAGUGGCGGUCUCGCUGUAGUCCCCCUCUGCGUAGUAGCACAACUCGCAUUGGAGCUCGGCGGUGGCCAUGCCGUAAAACACCCCACUUCUGAAAGUUGACCUCGGAUCAGGUAGGAAUACCCGCUGAACUUAAGCAUAUCAAUAAGCCGGAGGAA
rnacentral:rRNA from 1 species